CGCUCUGGGAGAGUCAGGAACUACAACUCCCAACCUGUCCCGCGGCGCUUCCGCCCUCUCCAGCCCAGGAUAUUGGGUUGAGCUUCCUGGGUCAGAUGCUGCUGCCUGCGUUGUGAUCUGGGAGCCCAGACUGAGCAGCUGCUGCUCCCCUGGUGGGGUCUGGGCUUGGGAGUGACUUGGAGUGAAGCUUCCUCUGUGCCCAGGCAAGGCUGCAGCGUAACAUCCAUGUUUUGCUCCAGAUCAUUCCAUCCUUCCAGGGUCCAGGGAAGUGAAAUGGCUGCAGUGGAGCCAUUUGAGGUAGGGAUUAUCACGGAGUUGCUGGUGGGUUCUCUUUGGAGGGAGAAGGCAGUAAAUACAGAGGAGGUGGGUGUGACUGGUUCGAUCACAGAAACCCCCAUGGGACUGUCACCUGAUGUGCUGAGACUACCUCUGAGCCCGUUUUCUCUGCCAGUUUGAGCCUUCAGAAACCUGCCUUGUCAAGCCAGACACGCCAGUCUGCUCCAACACGGACCCAGGGUCUGAACCACAUGCCCCAAAGUUGCAGACUUAACUGAAAACAGCUUAAGAAGUGCUCCUGUCUCCAGCACCCAGACACCCAGCUCCCAGUGGGAUCCAAACCCCAAAUAAAUCUGUUUUACUCUGUAUAAAGCUUAUACAGGGUAAA